UACGGGGGGGGCAAGCGUUGUUCGGAAUUACUGGGCGUAAAGGGCGCGUAGGCGGCCUGUUAAGUCAGACGUGAAAUCCCUCGGCUCAACCGGGGAACUGCGUCUGAUACUGGCGGGCUUGAAUUCGGGAGAGGGAUGUGGAAUUCCAGGUGUAGCGGUGAAAUGCGUAGAUAUCUGGAGGAACACCGGUGGCGAAGGCGGCAUCCUGGACCGACAUUGACGCUGAGGCGCGAAAGCCAGGGGAGCAAACGGG
rnacentral:rRNA from 1 species